UAGUCCACGCCGUAAACGAUGUGUGCUAGUUGUUGGACAACAUAGUUGUUCAGUGACGAAGCUAACGCGAUAAGCACACCGCCUGGGGAGUACGGUCGCAAGAUUAAAACUCAAAGGAAUUGACGGGGACCCGCACAAGCGGUGGAGCAUGUUGUUUAAUUCGAAGCAACGCGAAGAACCUUACCUACCCUUGACAUACUUGUCGCACUUACCAGAGAUGGUUUGUUUCAGUUCGGCUGGACAAUGUACAGGUGCUGCAUGGCUGUCGUCAGCUCGUGUCGUGAGAUGUUGGGUUAAGUCCCGCAACGAGCGCAACCCUUAUCAUCUGUUGCCAGCACGUAAUGGUGGGAACUCUGAUGAGACUGCCGGUGAUAAGCCGGAGGAAGGCGGGGAUGACGUCAAGUCAUCAUGGCCCUUACGGGUAGGGCUACAAACGUGCUACAAUGGCUACUACAAUGGGCAGCUAGGUCGCGAGGCCAUGCGAAUCUCAAAAAGU
rnacentral:rRNA from 1 species